rnacentral:rRNA from 1 species
GACGUAGGAUGCAAGCGUUGUCAGGAAUUAUUGGGCGUAAAGCGUUCGUAGGCGGUAAUCCAAGUCUGGUGUUAAAGGCCUGAGCUCAACUCGGGUAUGGCAUCGGAAACUAGAUCACUUGAGUGCGGCAGGGGUAAUGGGAAUUCCCGGUGUAGCGGUGAAAUGCGUAGAUAUCGGGAAGAACACCAGUGGCGAAAGCGCAUUACUGGGCCGUAACUGACGCUAAGGAACGAAAGCCAGGGGAGCGAAAGGG